rnacentral:ncRNA from 2 species
UACGGGGGGUGCAAGCGUUAAUCGGAAUUACUGGGCGUAAAGCGCGCGUAGGCGGUUGUGCGAGUCGGAUGUGAAAGCCCCGGGCUCAACCUGGGAAUUGCAUCCGAAACUGUACGGCUAGAGUCUGGGAGAGGGAAGUGGAAUUCCGGGUGUAGCGGUGAAAUGCGUAGAUAUCCGGAGGAACACCAGUGGCGAAGGCGACUUCCUGGCCUAAGACUGACGCUGAGGUGCGAAAGCGUGGGGAGCAAACAGG